UCGCUUUCCUCUACUCGCCGCUGCGCUUCGUGCCCCUGUACGUCGUGCUCGCAGUCGCCGCCUAUCGCCAGAUCGCCCCAGUUUGCCCAAUCAGUGAACAACGAAAGAAUAUGUAUCUUGGAUCAGACCCCAAUUCGUGGUCAGUGGAGAACAAUAUUGCAAUACUCUAGUAGACAAGGACGUCUGGAAGCACCGGCAACAUGUCAAGCAAUCAAGAUCUAGCGCUGCAUUUUCUCGUCAUCGGUUAUACUUUAUUCAUAAUUUGGACACUUUGAUUCAUCUUUACUGUUCAAUUUCCUAGGAUCAACUAAUAUUCAUAAGGUGAACUCUUUAUUUUGGAAUUUUGGUAAUUAUAUUCACGGUCAUAUCGUAUUCAAAGUAUAUUGUAUUGCUAAGUGUGCUAAUUUUAUGUGUAUUAUGACUUGAUAUCCACGCAUAUGUGAUAGAGAUGGGACCCCGGAUCAUUUUUGUCCUGGGUCCGCCCCUGAUCUGGACAGCUGAUUUACUAUCCAACGGUGCACGGAUACUCAGUUGCCAUCCGAAGCAAAUCCCAUGUGCGCUUUGGGCAGUUCGAUAUGCACGCCGCCGCCGCUGCUCGCCCGCCGUUCGUCCCCACGACGGAAGCUUCUAGAAACCCCACCAGCCGCCGCGGACGCGCCUCUGCCUGCUCCCGGCGUUCCCCGUUCCCAUCGCGCGUUACGGGCGCUAGCCUCCUACACCGCGACGCAUUGCACUGGAUCGCAUUGUGCUGCUAGGUGGUGGCUUAGUCCUGGAGUCGCAGCGGCGAACGGAUUGUGAGUGCCAGUUCGUGGAGAAUGGAGAUGAUUCUGGGAUCUACCCGCCCAGUUUUGCGCAGAGUCGUGGCUUCCAUGUUGUUAACCAGCAGGACCCCUAUGUGUGUGACAAAUUUAUGAACUAGGGACCGGUUGGGUUAGGUUUCAGCUUGUAGAUUUUGCGUGUGAUUAAGGUUUUGCCGUUUUGGAAAUGGAAACCGAUGUACUCCCUCCGUCCAGAAUUACUUGUCAUCAAAAUGGAUGAAAAUAGAUGUAUCUAAAACUAAAAUACAUCUAGAUACAUCCAUUUCAAUGACAAGUAUUUCCGGACGGAGGGAGUAACUAGUUACUGGCCAAGACUGCAGUGGAUUAUCUCUUGAAAAGACGUAACGAUCAGGUUUUGACUGAGUUGAUCCUGAUCUAUUUACUGGAUCGUCGGUGUCUUCUUUCUCACUCGAAUUACACAAAAGUGGACUGUUUCGU